CAAUACACAAAUAAAAUUGACAAAUUUUUCUUUUUGUUCUCUUGACAGCAAGCGAAAGCAGCAUAAGAAGAAAGAGGCGUCAACUUGGAGGAUGUCUUGAACUGACUUGAAAUUCUGGCAUUUCCAUGCAAUUAGUUUGGGGCACAGGAGCCAGGAACCAAUGAAGAGAUAGCCAGGAACCAAUCAGUUUGGGGCACAGUAGGGUUCAAAGCUGAGUUUCCCAUUUUCGACAAGGGCAUGGAGGGAGUGAUGGAUUGCAUGGUUAUGUUCCUUCUCUUGAUCAUGUGAUUGCAGACGUAGGGAAACACCAGGAUGUAAUCAAUAGGUAUUCAAGAUGAAUUUUUUACCUCAGAGACAACAGAGCAUCUAGUUUCUACUCCACAAGUUGUCUCUAAUUCUAAUAGCUCGUUACCGCCUCGAUUUAAUAACCGCAAAAAUCGAUCAGAAGUUUGGGACCACUUCUCGGAGCCUAACUCAGAUAAAAAAGCCCAUUGCAAUUAUUGUGGUUGUACGAUCAAGUGUGAUAAGGGAACGAGUUCUAUGCGAACUCAUUUGAAGAGGUGUAAGGAUCAUCUAGAUAGAGAUAAAAACAAAAGGAGAAAAUCAUCUUUAUCCUCAAUUGGAGCUACAGAAGGACAUGCUGGUUCUUCCCCUUCGACGGUUGCUAGAUUUGACCAACAAGUUUGCCGGGAUGCACUUGUGAAAAUGUUAGUGGCUACCGAGCUUCCUUUUUGAUUUAUUGAGAAUGAAGACUUUCGGUGGUUUAUCAGUAUUGUAAGUCCGAAAUUUAAUCUUACCUCACGAACUACAAUGGCACGUGAUGCUUUGACAUUAUAUCAAGUAGAAAAAGUGAAGUUGAAGAAGUUUCUU